GUGCCAGCAGCCGCGGUAAGACGAAGGGGGCUAGCGUUGUUCGGAAUUACUGGGCGUAAAGCGAGUGUAGGUGGUUGUCAUAGUCAGGCGUGAAAGCCUUGAGCUCAACUCAAGAAAUGCGCUUGAUACUGGGCGGCUAGAGGACCGGAGAGGAUAGUGGAAUUCCCAGUGUAGUGGUGAAAUACGUAGAGAUUGGGAAGAACACCAGUGGCGAAGGCGGCUAUCUGGACGGUUUCUGACACUAAGACUCGAAAGCGUGGGGAGCAAACAGGAUUAGAUACCCUGGUAGUCC
rnacentral:rRNA from 1 species